rnacentral:lncRNA from 1 species
UCAAAAUGGAAAGAUGAUUACAUAAUAAAAACAACUCUAGUUUGCACUAUUCUCUCAGGGCCAAUAAUGACCUGAUCAUCUGCCAUAUAUGGUAGCUCCAGAGUAGGAGUAAUAUCACCUCAUCUUGACAUCUUCUUCUUGAGUGGUGAUACAUGGAAAGUAUACUGAAUAUACAGAAACCUUUCAGACAACUCAUCCAAAAGAAAUUCUUCACAUGUCACAGAGAUGUCUUUUUCUGUAUGAAUUCCCUUUGUUUCAUUAACUUCAUCCAGCAGUCCACAAUGGGAAAAUAAUUUCUAUCUAUUUCUUUUUGAUAUCUCCAUAUAUUGCAUGAGAAAUAUACAACCACUGCAGCUGAACUUACAAUCCUGUCCUCGCAAUACCACCACUUACAUUAUCUCCGACUCCUGCAGAUCUCUUAUUCUUUUGCCAUGAAAAGAAUCCCAUUUAUGAUUGUCAUGUACAAACUCAAUUGGUUUAAAUGACACCUCAAGUGAUUUUUCUGAAACUUCAACAGAUUCAAGGGCAAGCAUCAUGUUCACACCAUAGUUUUGACUUGGGGGUGUAAAAUUUGAUAUUGGAGUCUUCCAUUUUUCCAGCAAUUGCCAAGCACUCAUCAACCUUCAAAUAUGGUCCAAGACUUUCUUCCUGGUUGCAGGCAACAAUUAUAGAAUUAUUUUCUUUAAAGCCAAGAUCAAUCUUUUCUUCUUGAAUUUGGCAUUUGGGAUUUCUGCUCAAGUCCUGAAAUUGAUCUUUUGUCCAAGAACCCUUAGAUAUAUGGACACUGGUUUUUAAAGCUUGAAAGGACUCCAAUAUUUUGCUCUUUUUCUCUUGAACUAACC